rnacentral:tRNA from 1 species
GCGCAUGUGGCGUAAUUGGUAGCCGCGUUAGACUUAGGAUCUAAUGUCUCAAGACGUGGGGGUUCGAGUCCCUUCAUGCGCA